rnacentral:rRNA from 1 species
AUUGAACGCUGGCGGCAUGCCUUACACAUGCAAGUCGAACGGUAACAGGUCUUCGGAUGCUGACGAGUGGCGAACGGGUGAGUAAUACAUCGGAACGUGCCCGAGAGUGGGGGAUAACGAGGCGAAAGCUUUGCUGAUACCGCAUACGAUCUCAGGAUGAAAGCAGGGGACCGCAAGGCCUUGUGCUCACGGAGCGGCCGAUGGCAGAUUAGGUAGUUGGUGGGAUAAAAGCUUACCAAGCCAACGAUCUAUAGCUGGUCUGAGAGGACGACCAGCCACACUGGGACUGAGACACGGCCCAGACUCCUACGGGAGGCAGCAGUGGGGAAUUUUGGACAAUGGGCGCAAGCCUGAUCCAGCCAUGCCGCGUGCAGGAUGAAGGCCUUCGGGUUGUAAACUGCUUUUGUACGGAACGAAAAGACUCUGGUUAAUACCUGGGGUCCAUGACGGUACCGUAAGAAUAAGCACCGGCUAACUACGUGCCAGCAGCCGCGGUAAGAC